GAUGAACGCUGGCGGCGUGCUUAACACAUGCCAGUCGAACGAAGCACUUUAUUUGUUUUCCUUCGGGACUGAUUAUUUUGUGACUGAGUGACGGACGGAUGAGUAACCCGUGGGUAACCUGCCUUUUACAGGGGGAUGACAGUAUGAAACGGCUGCUAAUACCGCAUAAGCGCCCGGCGUCGCAUGAUGCUGUGUGAAAACCUCCGGUGGUAUACGAUGGACCGUCGUUGGUUUAGCUAGUUGGGGAGGUCACGGCCCACCAAGGCGACGAUCCAUAGCCGAGCAGAGAGGGUGAGCGGCGACAUCGAGACUGAGACACGGCACAAAAUCCUACGGGAGGGAGCAGUGGGGGAUAGUGCACAAUGGGGGAAAGCCUGAUGCAGCGACGCCGGGUGAGCGAAGAAGUAUUUCGGUAUGUAAAGCUCUAGCAGCAGGGAAGAUAAUGACGGUACCUGACUAAGAAGCACCGGCUAACUACGUG
rnacentral:rRNA from 1 species